AUAUAUAAAGUAAAAAUUACAUUUAGUUUCGACCUAAAAAUUGAUAAAAAUUAUCUAUAUAUU
rnacentral:tRNA from 1 species